rnacentral:lncRNA from 1 species
GAAAUCUGCAUUUCAUUUGUACAUACUGCAAAUUUUAAAAGCGAAGAGGACAAGACUCACCCACAGUGUGGCACUUUCGAGGAGCCUUUGCUGAGCACCGUCACCCGUUCCCCACAUCACCCUGUGGUAUCGGAUAUGUGUAUGCCUCGGAUGUACUUGUCUCUCCCCACUCCAGACGAAUGGCCAAAGAAUAAAACUAGACUUACUAUCUUUUCAUAUUCUUAUUCUUGAUUGUACUGCUUAUACUGUGCAUGCUCAAUAACAUUUAAAUGAAUGAAAAACGUGUUGAGUUAUUCAUUUUGAAGUUUUCCAAGUGAUUUUCUUUCAAGUUUAUUCUGUUUCCUUUCACUUGAGUCUCAUAUUUGCAUCCACCAUAUUGGACAUGAAGACAGGUUCUCCUUGAAAUUGUUGCUAGACACUUUUCCAACAGCUUUCUCAAUUGUUUCUAUGAUUUUUUUUUAAAGUUGGCCACUAAUAACUGUCUCAAGAAUGAGACUGAAAGUAUCAGUGGGACAAAUUAAGUCUAGGCUAAAAUCUUUGGUUUGGAGGCCCGAUGAGAAAUCACUUUUCUUCCUGCCAUCAAACAGG